rnacentral:rRNA from 2 species
AGCAGCCGCGGUAAUUCCAGCUCCAAUAGCGUAUAUUAAAGUUGUUGCAGUUAAAAAGCUCGUAGUUGAAUUUCGGGAUCAAUUUGCUGGUCGUGCCUCUGGUACGUACUGGUAUUAUUGGUUUCUCCCUUCUGACGAACCAUGAUGUCAUUAAUUUGAUGUCGUGGAGAAUCAGGACUGUUACUUUGAAAAAUUAGAGUGUUUAAAGCAGGCAUUAGCUUGAAUACAUUAGCAUGGAAUAAUGAAAUAGGACGUUUGAUCCUAUUUUGUUGGUUUCUAGGAUUGACGUAAUGAUUAAUAGGGAUAGUUGGGGGCAUUAGUAUUCAAUUGUCAGAGGUGAAAUUCUUGGAUUUAUUGAAGACUAACUACUGCGAAAGCAUUUGCCAAGGAUGUUUUCAUUAAUCAAGAACGAAAGUUAGGGGAUCGAAGACGAUCAGAUACCGUCGUAGU